rnacentral:rRNA from 1 species
UAGGGAAUCUUCCGCAAUGGGCGAAAGCCUGACGGAGCAACGCCGCGUGAGUGAUGAAGGUCUUCGGAUCGUAAAACUCUGUUAUUAGGGAAGAACAAAUGUGUAAGUAACUAUGCACGUCUUGACGGUACCUAAUCAGAAAGCCACGGCUAACGACGUGCCAGCAGCCGCGGUAAUACGUAGGUGGCAAGCGUUAUCCGGAAUUAUUGGGCGUAAAGCGCGCGUAGGCGGUUUUUUAAGUCUGAUGUGAAAGCCCACGGCUCAACCGUGGAGGGUCAUUGGAAACUGGAAAACUUGAGUGCAGAAGAGGAAAGUGGAAUUCCAUGUGUAGCGGUGAAAUGCGCAGAGAUAUGGAGGAACACCAGUGGCGAAGGCGACUUUCUGGUCUGUAACUGACGCUGAUGUGCGAAAGCGUGGGGAUCAAACAGG